AACCAGUGCUUGCCAUAAAGGCAUGCAAAGUUAUCCAUCACUCUCAGACAAAUUAGCUACCUUUAAUGCAGCGCAUUUUGCUGCAGUUAGCUUCAUUCUCACUUGUAUAUUACAGACUUCUGAAUGGUUUGUAAAGUGUGCUUUGCAGCUCCUCUGUGAUGUGUUUUUGUUUAUCACUGUAGAUGUGUGAAUGUGUAGUAUCCUACCACCCCUGGAAAAUAUUUAUGAUUCUACGAUUCUGGGAUUUAGCUUAUCUAUCAAUCAAUGUGUGUUUCUGCCACAUGGAGUUUUAUCACUGAAAACACUGUUAUUACAGUAAAGUUAUAUUUGAAUGUAGUUGUUAUGCAAACUAGUUAUUUUGCCCCUACUGUGGACAUAACACAAGUCCUGCAAUGUCCUGUGAUGUCCUGCAACUGACAGCUAGGUCAGCAUACCUGAAACUAUGCAGUGUGCAGUUGUAGGUAAUUACAUUAGCGCAUGCAAAUCUGAUGUUUACCUGACCACAAUCCAUACAACAUAAGGGCCUUGGCAAAUAUAUAGCUUCUUAUAGGCUUUGUUUUUCCUUUAUUGCUUUAUAUAUUCAAUGUUUGACAGCAGUGGAUUACUUGAAACUGAAUGGCGUUUUAAAUACGUAGCUAGUAGUAGUAUCACUUUUAACAUGUAUGCCCCUAUAAAAGCCAACUCCCAGCUGAAUGAGCGUGAAGAAUAAAGUUGCUGACCAUUCUCUGACCUGGGCCUUGAUUUUAGAAACCGCAUAGCAGCCAGCAGGUCAGUGUGAAGCAGGAUGUGCUGCUGCUGCUUGGAGAAGCAAAAAAUCCUAAUUGGAUUUCACAGAUGUUCAACCAGUGGCCCAGAGGUUUAAGCUUAUUGUAUUAAAGCAGAGAGUAGGUGACCAAAAGAGAAGUGAUCAGACUCCGUUAUUGUUUUGUUUUACAAUUACUGUGUGAAAUAACCUGCCUUCUGGUAACUGUUCGUGUAAUGGACCAUCUUAAAAGGAAAAAAAAAAACAUUUUAUUUAUAAUCACAGCGAUGUUUUUGUAGGUAUGAUGCAGGAUGAGAUACCUGAAAAAGAAGGAAUAUGUGGCACAGCCCUGUUGUUGCUUCCUCGCGUUCCUUACUCUCUGGGCCACUUCUAUGCCUAAACACUGCCCUGGCUGAGGUGAGGGGCUGAGGGAGGGGGAGAUUUU
rnacentral:lncRNA from 1 species